UCAAAAGAAACAAUUUAUUUAGAAUGAAACAAAAUCAGCUCAACUGUGAGCGCAUGUUUGAGUGACAGCUACUUUUAAGCUGUGUGAGCUAUAAAAAGGGUAUUCCUUUACUUUUCCAGCAAUCUUGUGUACACAGCACAAAGCAAAGAGGUCAUUUUUUUUUCCACUUAAAACACGGGCAUUGGCAUCACAAUAGCAGAUACACAACUUUUUUUUUUUUUUUAAAGCUGCCAUUUUAGUAAAAUGCACAAAUACUAAACAGAUAAGCUUUCUUCCACCAGGAGGCCCAUGUAAAUUCCACAUAAGCCACAGCUUCUCUUCCCAAAGGUCCAUUAGAGCUUGGUAUCCCAUGCGCUUGUCUUCUGCAGUCCACCAGUUUUGCUUGCAGGAGGAAAAAAAAACGUUAUUUCAAUACAAAUGUGUACACCAGAUCUGGGUUUUUCCCCUCCCUACAUUAUACAGAUGAACAUAAAGAGCUACGAGGCCUUUCUGAAUAUUCUACUUGGACUUCAAAAAGCACCAAUACCACCCGUGGGCAUGAAACCUCGGAAUGAAGUUGCCUUCUAGGGAUAGAUGCAAAACAAGUAGUGCAGGGCUUCUUUUUGGACCAGGAUAAAACUAGGCUUACAGUAUUGGUGAUUAUUCAACUUGCAGUAACAUUUGUUGGGGCACAUCAAAACCAUUAACCAGGAGAAAAACCAACCUAAUUCUUGCUAAUUCGGUUGACUUUCCUCACUGGGUGUUUCCUGAAGGCAACUUAUCAACAAAACCAUGAAAUGUAGUGUUACACAGCUCUUUUGCUCUCAUUCUGCUGCGCAGGUCUAACAGCAGACAAUGCCAAUAUUAAAAGGUCAAAUCAAAGACACACCCAAUAUAAUUUAAAAUUGUUACUAUUCAAGUCAUAUCUCCUUGCCAUCGGUUUCACACAAUCGGAACUGCGGGAAGAUGAAUAUUCAAUGAACCAUUCUCUGCACCACCCGGUCUGCUUUAAGCCUGAUACAAAAAUCACCUCAUUGUUCAGUCUAUCAAUCAUUGGAAUAUCUGUCCUUCAGUGCUAUAAAGAAAUAAACAGGGGGACAAAGGGGAAAGAACCCCAAAAGCUCUAGAGCCACACGGCAACCAUUUCCUCCCCUCUGUGCACACAGCACUCCCCAGGAGCGCUGCCCUCAACACUGUUUUGCUUAGAGCCAGGAACUAUCAUUUUCCAAGGCAUUUUUCCCUGAGUCCUCAGAGUUUUUGAACUUGUCUUCACAAUUUUGAUUCACUUCUCCUCCCCAUUAAUACCUCAGGCCUUUCACCUCAGUUACCAUCAACCAGAGGGUUCCCAAACCCACACAAGAAAUUAAAACUCGUUUUCAUAAAACUUGGCUCUCCACAGAGGCCAAGAAAGUUGUCACGAAAAUAUUCCAUCUUUAACAUCCUUGUAGGAAAUGAAACAGAGAGAGGGCAAGGUUUCUUUGCUUGGCAAUAAUGCCUUUUUCUCUCUGGGAGGCUGACAAGGUUCUGUUGAUAUUUGUGCCCCUAAAACCUCUGGAUUGAGGAUAACCCCGGUGUUCCCAUGGCAAACAGAGCCACUGGCCAGGGGCCAAGGAAGUUGCGCAAAGUUUCCAAUUGAAAGAAAUAAACAACAAACUAAAAUCUCAAACAAAACUACGAGUCAUUUGAGGUUCUUUCCCCAAAGCAUAAAGCACAAGGAUGAAAUGAUUCAGGAAAAGGACAUCCUUUCUCCAGGCUAAUUCAACACACGAAUGAAAUAGAAGAACAUCAGCUGCACACAAGGUCGGGAGGGAAUACUGAGCUCUCGCCACAGCAAUGUAAUGCCAGACACAAGGAGAGAGCCAACAGCUGCUACAUCUGGUUUGCUCUACACACAGUGGUAUCACCCACGGGCUUCUAAACCUUGAGCCCUGGCUAAGCCAACUUCAGUGGGCAGUUACUCCAACGGGGAACACCUCAGACCAAGGAGGAAAGCACAGCCCGCCCAGCCGCACCGGCCGGGAUGGCAGCACAGCAAUUCAGUGCCAGUAAAAAAAAGCUUUCCAAGUUUUGCCACAAGAACCCUCAAAGGGUGUUAAAAUCCUUGCUUACAAAACAGAGCAGCAACCACAAAUAAACCAGAUUCAAAGAAGCAGGUGCUCCAUGAAAUAAGGAACCAGAAAACCUGGAGUCAAACACGGCCUCGCCUGUUCCUUCUUGCCCUCCAGCACAGCACAGCACAGUUUCACAGCCAAUGGCAGGUGGGACCAAGGGAAUUCCAGGGUGAUUUCCCAAGGAAAAAUGGAAGGGCACCUAACAUGCUCUUCCCAAAAGGCUCCCAAACCAAGCUGGCUUUGACAAGCUGUGUUGACCCCAAGUUUUAUGGGUUUUUAUGCAGGUGCCUGCUGUGGAUCAGCAGAAUAAACGCUGCUCUCAGUGUCCAACACAAACUUUAGUGCUUUUUUUCCCCCCAGUUUUAGGCAGAUUUAAAUUCCCAGCUGUUUAAGUCUCUUUCCCAGAAAACUCUUUCAAGUGAUUUCUGUCAGAUGACAGAAAUCUCCCAGAGAACUCCCUCUGAAUGAAAGCAGCACUUGCAGCAUUGAUCACCUACUGACACCCAACAGGCACCUGCUCCAAUUAAAACAUUCUUUGCAAUAAGUGGUAAACACGCUGUAUCUUCUUAAACACAGUGAUUUGCAUUUCUGGUGUCAUUCCCAAAAAUUCUCGUUGUUAAUAGUAAGCUGAACAGCUGAAUUCUGCCAUCUCUUACAUUCACAUUGAAGGGCAACCCAGAAAUCCUGGAUUUUACUCUCAAACUUAAGAGCAUUAAAUGAGGCUUUCACCUUCUCAUUUAGAAAGAAAAGUAGCUAUAAAAAACAAAAUCUGUGUUUAAGAGAUGUUGCCACUUGGAAUUCUCAGUUCACCACGAUGUUUGGGAUGCUGGGUCUACUCAUUCUGGGCAGACAGAGGAAUCAAAGCCCUCUUAAACCACAGCCCCUCUAUGACAAGUGGUGCAGUAACAAAAAUUCCUACUUUUGUGACAGAAACUCAAGCAAGUUCAGUUACACCCAUAAAAUACAUUCAACACAUUUCCUCCUUCAUCUCCUAUUCGUAUCCCAUUCCACACUUUUAAUUUGAUUUUUGCCAUGCAAGUUGUAACAGAAAUCAACUCAUGCCUGUAUCAAUUAUCCAAGGAAUCUAUUGGAGCAUGGACCAAGUGAUGCUGUGUCACUUCUCUGUUGCCCAAAUCCCUGAAAACAUGGCUAAGUGCAAGAUUACAUUCUGGGUUUAAGUGCAAGAUUACAAUUUUAGGGCCUGUAAAGAGAUACAGUGAGAUUUACACCUCAAUUUAGAAGCUGCUGCACCAUCCUUUUAGUUGUUAAACAGAGUAUCAUGGAAUUAAGAUCACAUCAGGGAUUGAGACCUCUUCUCCCCUCCUAAAUGCCUGAAUUACCAAAGGUGGCUGAGCCAGCUGGAGAAAAGUGCCCAAUGAUUGGGGAAAAAUAUGAAAAAAUUAACUUAUGUUCUUUGGAAAAAAAAAAAAACCAAAACAACCUGAAAACUGUUUCAUCCUUGAAUCACAAGAACAAGAGCUCAAACCUCAGCAUCUUGGAGUAUUUGUAAUAUUUCUCCAGGAUGCUAAAACCACUUUACUCCAGGUGCCCACGAUAAACCUCAUGUAAUGCCCACUGCACACUGUACCUGGAAAGUCCCUAGCAGACAGCAGUUCCUUGCUAUUAACAAAGAGGUAAAAUGUUAAUGAGAACUUUUAUGUAAUUAAAUUAUCACAGAAUGAAAAGCAUCUCUGGAGAGAAGCACUUACUUGCUCAGUUUGCAUUGUGGAACCAAACCCCACUGAACCUGCAACUCUUGGAAAACAAAACAAAACAAAAAAAAAGGCAGUAAAACCAAAACUCCACAAUAUAACUCAAGUUCUCCUUAAAGCACCUCCUUGUUUCCUGCACACCAGAGUGAGCACAAGACAUUCCUGGUUUGCAACAAAGUCCUCAGCUCUUCACCAAACCUAGUCACUGCUACAAACCCAAAGUGCACAUAUGGGAUACACUGGGAAAUCGGGGAAAUACACCUGUUAAAAAGCCCAGUUUCAGUGCAUGCACCUGGGGGGGGGGGGGCUGGAUGAAAAAGGAAUCCCUUUCCAAAAAGGAAUUCAGUGUUCUGCUGUGCACCCGAGAGCAGCUGCUGCUCACCUGAAAAACGUUGACCUGAGCCACGCGACUCAACGGGGAAACCACUGCGGCUCCCGAGGGAAGGGAUCCCACGGGCCAAGGGGCCGCUGGCCUGAGGCCCACACGGAAUUUCAAGGACUCAAAAGAGGAGGUGACACCAGUCUGUUAUUAAAGUAUGGAUUUCCAUUUCCACUGAGUGCUUUAAAUCUGGUCUGUUCGGUUUGGAGCUCUCUCGAGGACGAGCUCUUGGGACUUGCUUUAAAAUACAUGAAAUGAAAAAAGGACAUGAAUCUAAAUUAAGAAGACAGGAGUUUUUCUUUCCCCCCCUCCCCCCCACCCCAGUUUUUAUUAUUUUUCUAUUUUCUGUAAAUCAAAGCAGGCUGAGCCUCCCUGCUGUCCCCACUGAUAGGGAAUUCUCAAAAUAUCCUAUUCACGCUACUCCUAACCAACCUCUCUGGCUUCUAUCUUUAUAGAAAAAUGUAGUAACAGAAAAUCGGCCCGGGAAAGUCACCUACAAACAAAGAUCUAUUUAAAAUAACGACAGGGCUGGCUAAGGCUGUAUCCCAUAGCACCUGGCACACGCUGGAGGGGCUGCAUGGAGGAGUAGGCAGGGUUGGGAACAGAACACGAGGGCCUUAGGACGCCCCACGGACAAUGAUCAUGACCAGAUAGUCGUCCUCUGAUUUGGCCAGCGCCUUGGCUGUGGAGUCCAGGAACUGCUGGGAGAAGUCGCAGGGUGGAAAGGCGUGCAGGACCCCGCUGUUCUCCUUGUCUUUGUUCCCCCCCACAGGGAGGCUGAUCACCCCAGCAGCCUGCUUUUGCUUUAGGUAGGACACCAGAUUCCUGAGCGGCCUCUGUGUGGAGGUGGUGGCGGCCUCGGCAGCCCCGGCUGCGGAGCGGUUGUCUGAGGCGCCGGGCACGGCCAGAAGGAUGGCGUAUCCAUUGGGACCCGCCACCUUGAUGCGCCGGUUGACCUCAUCCAACUUGGGCUGGUCCAGACGGAGACGUUGGGUGAUCUUGAGCUGAGCCACUUUCCCCCCAGUCGCUCCCUCCACGAGGAGGCUGCUGGCGACUCCGAGGUCCCCCUGGAGCAGGUGCAUGUUGGACGGGAAGUUGCUGUUCUUCAGCAGGAGCAUCCCCUGCCAAGCCAGGCACAGUUUGGGCGCUGCCCCGGCCUGCGCUGCUCCAUCCUGCUGCUGUUUUUGGGGAGGAGGUUUGAGCCGGGAGCCUCCACCACCUCCCUCCGCCGCCCGCUCGUCCUUUUUGGCCGGACUUUUGCACUCCUGGGCGGCAGCGGCGGCGCGGUGCUUGCGCUCCCGCUCUGCGGAGUUCUUGCGGUCGCGCUUUUCGUUCUGCCCCCGCUCCAGGCUGCCCCGGCGGGACUCCCGGAUAGGGGAAGGUCGCUCCAAGAGGAGCAAGCGGGACGAGCGCUCAGGGUCACUACUGUAACGCUCCCGGCCUCCGAGGAGCUCGGGGCUGCGGUCCGGGGGAGAGGUUGUGGCCAAGCAGUGGCGCUUUCGGGAGGAAGAGGAGCGCUCGCUGUCAGGGGAACGGUCCAAGUGCCGGCCUCCAUCCUCUGCCAGUCUCCGUUUCCUAGGCUGAUCCCUACUGCUACUGCCCAGCUCCCUCUCCCCGCGGUCCCGCUCCAAGGACCACCCAUCCCGGCGGCGCUCCAGGCUUUCCAGUGGGUCAUAAGCAGCUGCCCUAUUACUCCGGUCCCGCACAGGGGGCGGCGGGGGCACCCACUCUGUCUCAGGAUAAAGGUCUCUGUCACGGUCUCUAUAGAGCAAAGGUGGCGUCCUGUCCCGGGCCCCCCGCAGAGGGUCGGGGGGGGCUCCCCGGUGAGCCCCAAAAGCAGCCGCCUCCGCCACAAGCUCGUAAUGAGCCGGGGGCGGCAAGGGCAGGGGCUGCAGGUAGGGCUGCUGGUACCGAUGCUCCGUGUCCGCAAAGUCCACGCGGAGCCGGCGAUCCGGCCCCCCCAGGGGAAACCCCCGCAUGUGGGUGCAGGCUGCCUGCGCCGCAUCCAGGCUCUCGUACUGGAUAUAGGCCCAGGAAUCCCCUUUGCGGUAAUCGAUCGUGCGGAUGGUGCCAAACCGAUCAAACUCCCUGGCCAGGGCAGCCAGGGGCACCCAGGGCCCGAGGCCGCCCACCCAGAGCCGGGUGGUCGGGGUGGCUUUCCCGUACCCGAUCUUGAUGGGAUUGCGCAGCAGCACCUUCCCCGACAUGGCCAACUUGGCCCGGUGUGCCAUGUCCAGAUUCUCAAACUUAAGAAACCCAUAGGUGCUGGUCUGCCCACGCCCCGGCCUCUUGAUGUCCACCUCAGUGAUGACCCCGAAACGGUCAAACGCUCGCCGCAAGUCCGACUCGCUCACGGUGAUGUCCAGGUUGCCCAGGAACAGCGUGCGGUUGGCUCUCUGGUCAUCCUCAGGGCUGAUCUCCUCCUCGGCGGCCGCUCCGGCACCUCCUCCUCCUCCUCCGCGGAAUCCGCCGGCCGCCGCCACGCCGGCCACGCGCUCCAGCCCGUAGGCCGGCCGCACCCGCGCCUCGUAGAAGCCGCCGUAGUCCC
rnacentral:lncRNA from 1 species